rnacentral:tRNA from 1 species
UGGCUCAGAGGUUAAGAGCACUGGCCACUUUUCCAGAGGACCUGGGUUCGAUUCCCAG